AUCACCACCAAUUCCUCUUCUUCCAACCUCCUCCUCCCCUACUCGUCGUCACUGGCCGCGCUCUUCCCAAUCCGGUUGUCGUUAGUGCAAUCUUCCUCAGCCGACGAUGUCCCCCCGACCUCGAAGCCACAGCAGUGUCUCCUUUCACGCGACGCCGAUUGUUAGGCUCUCCCGAUUCGUCGGACAUCAUUGCCUCUUUCUUCUCGAUUCCAUCUCUUCGUCCAGCCGCUAGUCACAGGAGGGCAUGCCACUACUUUCCCUUCCUCCCGAUGUAUUGAGGCGUCAUUUCACCGCGCAACCAACCCACAUUGUCUCUGCCCUAGAUGCAGUCAGCAUCAUCGCAGCUGGGUCCUCGCCUCUGAUCCCGGCGCCUACAAUCGGGGGUUGCUCGAUCGCCGACCAUCAUCACUCGACAGCCGCCACCCAUCGCCGAAGAUCUUAUCUGUAGAAUUACAUCCUUGUUGAAUUGGGACAACAAGUGUUGAUUUGGGCUACUUUUCCAACAGCACCUUCGAUUGAGUCUUUGGUUUGGGAUAAGUUGUUUGUUUAAAGAUUGUGGAUUUAAUGUUAGGGUUUAAUUCUCAGAAGUGGAUGUAUUGACUACAAAUUUGGGGUGUUCGAUUUGUAGGUCUGCGGUUCAACUUAGCUCCAACCAUUGCUUCCAACAGUGGGUCAAGGGAUUGUACAAUGGAUUUAGGAUUUUGAUUCGAGACGGGCGUCUCGACGUGGGAUUGGUUUAUCACGAUCUACAUUUGAGGCAGAUACCUUUGACUUAUAUCUUUAGAUAUUGUCAUUUUGAUAUGCUUAGUAGGUUAUAACUAGUAGUAAUGGU